GAUGAACGCUGGCGGCGUGCUUAACACAUGCAAGUCGAACGAACGACUAUUAACAGAACCUUUCGGGGCGAAGAAUAUAGAAGUUAGUGGCGGACGGGUGCGUAACGCGUGGGUAGUCUGCCUUUGUCAAAGGAAUAACUAUUCGAAAGAAUAGCUAAAACCGUAUAACAUAUUAAUAGGGCAUCCUAAUAAUAUCAAAACGAUAGUGGACAAAGAUGAGCCCGCGUCUGAUUAGCUAGUUGGUGAGAUAAAAGCCCACCAAGGCAACGAUCAGUAGCCGACCUGAGAGGGUGAACGGCCACAUUGGAACUGAGACACGGUCCUAACUCCUACGGGAGGCAGCAGUGGGGAAUAUUGCACAAUGGGGGGAACCCUGAUGCAGCAACGCCGCGUGAGUGAAGAAGGCAUUCGUGUCAUAAAACUCUGUAGUAGGGGA
rnacentral:rRNA from 1 species